CAUGGGAGCUGCCCAGGACACCAAUGGACACGUGGACAAGGGGGCAGCUAUUGGGAAAGUUCUUUUCCAGGUGCCUGGGAAGGUGUGUGUGGUACAAGAGUUUCAUAUCUGUCAUUGAAUCUGCCCAAAGAGCUGAACAAAGGGCAUUGUUCUCUGCGUGUGCCAUGAUGCGAACAACGUCGAGUAAGCACAGAGCCGCAUCCCACUCCGGGAAAGGUCCGAAUCUCAGUGGUGUCAAGAUGAGAAAUGGAGCUGUGACCCUCAGUGAGGUGCCCUGGUCGUGUCAGAGGCCAGUGUCAAUCAGAAAUUUGAGAACUGCUGUGUAACUUCUCAGUGGGACACAACGGCUUCCUAAAAUAUACAACAGUAAUAUUAACAUGUUA